GCACUGCUGAGGAGUCCCAAAAUAAGACGAAACGGCCGUCCACUGC
rnacentral:hammerhead_ribozyme from 1 species